GAUAAAAAGAACACAAAAAUGAAGUGAGAGGACAGAAAAGAGAGAGGGAUAGAAUGAGAAACAGAGAUUGGGGUGGAGAGUGAAAGUGAGGUGUGACACAUAUGAGAAGAUGACAAGAAAGGUGUGAAACGACAGUGCAGCAAAGGAAAGAGAGAGAUAGAAUGUCACAGCUACAGAGACUUCCUGAAGAACCCAUCAAAGCAUGAAAGUGAUAAAGUUGUGUACGAGUAGGCGUAGGCAUUGCGCCUGCCUCACUUGAGUUUGGCGAUGACAAGCUCCUUGUUGAAGAGGAAGAGGUGUCUCUCGCGGGUCUUCUGACCCUCGGUCAGCUGCACGCAGGCGUCCAGGGCCAGAGGGGAGCCGUCACCGGACAACCCCAGCACAAACGGACACUGCUCCACUGCCACGGCCACCUCCUCCCUGAAAGGUCAAGGGCACACUCAAGGUCACACAUCCAGGGAACAGGAGGUGGGAGAUCGCAGAGGCAGCCGGCAGACCUGGCUGAAGUGCCAUAAACAGCUCCUGACACCUCCCCUGCACUUCCUAAUGCGUGUCUGGAAUCUGCUCAUGCAUGCAGAUGUUUUUUCAAUACAAGGAUACAAGGAUACAAGGAAGUUUAUUGUCACAUGCAUAUAGUUACUGGAAGUAAGAAAUGCAGUGAAAUUAUGUCUGGUG